rnacentral:rRNA from 1 species
GGCGGCGUGCUUAACACAUGCAAGUCGAGCGGUAAGGCCCUUUCGGGGGUACACGAGCGGCGAACGGGUGAGUAACACGUGAGCAAUCUGCCCUUCACACGGGGAUAACCACCGGAAACGGUGGCUAAUACCCGAUACGACCACUUCAGGCAUCUGAUGGUGGUGGAAAGUUCCGGCGGUGGAGGAUGAGCUCGCGGCCUAUCAGCUUGUUGGUGGGGUAAUGGCCUACCAAGGCAACGACGGGUAGCCGGCCUGAGAGGGUGACCGGCCACACUGGGACUGAGACACGGCCCAGACUCCUACGGGAGGCAGCAGUGGGGAAUAUUGGACAAUGGGCGAAAGCCUGAUCCAGCAACGCCGCGUGAGGGAUGACGGCCUUCGGGUUGUAAACCUCUUUCAGCAGGGACGAAGCGCAAGUGACGGUACCUGCAGAAGAAGCACCGGCCAACUACGUGCCAGCAGCCGCGGUAAUACGUAGGGUGCGAGCGUUGUCCGGAAUUAUUGGGCGUAAAGGGCUCGUAGGCGGUUUGUCGCGUCGGGAGUGAAAACUCAGGGCUUAACCCUGAGCCUGCUUCCGAUACGGGCAGACUAGAGGUAUGCAGGGGAGAACGGAAUUCCUGGUGUAGCGGUGAAAUGCGCAGAUAUCAGGAGGAACACCGGUGGCGAAGGCGGUUCUCUGGGCAUUACCUGACGCUGAGGAGCGAAAGUGUGGGGAGCGAACAGGAUUAGAUACCCUGGUAGUCCACACCGUAAACGUUGGGCGCUAGGUGUGGGACUCAUUCCACGAGUUCCGUGCCGCAGCUAACGCAUUAAGCGCCCCGCCUGGGGAGUACGGCCGCAAGGCUAAAACUCAAAGGAAUUGACGGA